AGGACGAACGCUGGCGGCGUGCUUAACACAUGCAAGUCGAACGGUGAAGCCUUUCGGGGUGGAUCAGUGGCGAACGGGUGAGUAACACGUGAGUAAUCUGCCCUUGACUCUGGGAUAACUUCGGGAAACCGUGGCUAAUACCGGAUAUGACGCAUGGUCGCAUGGUCUGUGUGUGGAAAGAUUUAUUGAUCAGGGAUGAGCUCGCGGCCUAUCAGCUUGUUGGUGGGGUAAUGGCCUACCAAGGCGACGAC
rnacentral:rRNA from 1 species